AAGGGUGAGUAACGCGUGAGCAACAUGCCCGGUACCGGGGGAUAGUCGAUGGAAACGUCGUGUAAUACCCCGUAACAACAGAGGCCGCAUGACCUUUGUUUAAGAGAUUUAUCGCUACCGGAUUGGCUCGCGUCCCAUUAGGCAGUUGGCGGGGUAACGGCCCACCAAACCGACGAUGGGUAGGGGUUCUGAGAGGAAGGUCCCCCACAUUGGAACUGAGACACGGUCCAGACUCCUACGGGAGGCAGCAGUGAGGAAUAUUGGACAAUGGCCGAGAGGCUGAUCCAGCCAUGCCGCGUGCGGGAGGACGGCCCUAUGGGUUGUAAACCGCUUUUGUUGGAGAGCAAUAAGGUCCACGUGUGGAUCGAUGAGAGUAUCCAGCGAAUAAGCAUCGGCUAACUCCGUGCCAGCAGCCGCGGUAAUACGGAGGAUGCAAGCGUUAUCCGGAUUUAUUGGGUUUAAAGGGUGCGUAGGCGGAUGAUUAAGCGUGAGGUGAAAUGCCACUGCUCAACAGUGGAACUGCCUCGCGAACUGGUUGUCUGGAAUGCCCCUGCCGUGGGAGGAAUGUGUGGUGUAGCGGUGAAAUGCAUAGAGAUCACACAGAACACCGAUUGCGAAGGCAUCUCACGAAGGGGUGAUUGACGCUGAGGCACGAAAGCGUGGGGAUCAAACAGGAUUAGAUACCCUGGUAGUCCACGCAGUAAACGAUGAUAACUAACCGCUGGGUAUUCGUAUUCAGUGGCCAAGCGAAAGCGAUAAGUUAUCCACCUGGGGAGUACGACCGCAAGGUUGAAACUCAAAGGAAUUGACGG
rnacentral:rRNA from 1 species